AGAACGAACGCUGGCGGCAUGCCUAACACAUGCAAGUCGAACGAGACCUUCGGGUCUAGUGGCGCACGGGUGCGUAACGCGUGGGAAUCUGCCCUUGGGUUCGGGAUAACAGUUGGAAACGACUGCUAAUACCGGAUGAUGACUUCGGUCCAAAGAUUUAUCGCCCAGGGAUGAGCCCGCGUAGGAUUAGCUAGUUGGUGAGGUAAAGGCUCACCAAGGCGACGAUCCUUAGCUGGUCUGAGAGGAUGAUCAGCCACACUGGGACUGAGACACGGCCCAGACUCCUACGGGAGGCAGCAGUGGGGAAUAUUGGACAAUGGGCGAAAGCCUGAUCCAGCAAUGCCGCGUGAGUGAUGAAGGCCUUAGGUUGUAAAGCUCUUUUACCCGGGAUGAUAAUGACAGUAACCGGAGAAAUAACGCCCGGACUAACUCCGUGCCAGCAGCCGC
rnacentral:rRNA from 1 species